GAAGUCAGGAAUGAGCUAAUUGCAAGGAGAUAGUGUUUUAAUACUCAUUAGGGGGCACGUUGGCCCACAAGCCAAGGGAUAAAAUGUAGUUUUAAAAAGGGGAAGGAAGAUUUAGGGGGUUUAAAUAGACAGGGGGGACCCCUGUGGAUUUGGGUAGCUAUAACAACCUGCCCGGAUUUCACUCCCUGGGUCGAAGCUACUAAAAUGCAAAGAAAAAAAAAAAAAUAAGUGUGAAGUUUUUUUGUUUUUUUUUUCUCUUUAAUUAUUAUUUUCUCGAUUUGCUCCUUCUUGCCAUUCUGUUUGCUUCUCAGAUCCCUAUUUCCUCACGGUGAUGAUCGGGACGCAUUUGAACCAACUUUCUAGAAACCUUUGGUUAGCUCCAUUUCUUUUUCCCCCUCCUUUUUUUUUUUUUUCAUUAAAAAAGAAGAGGAUUUACACGCAGACAUGCACGCACACACACGCACACCCCUUCCCCACCAGUCCAACCAGCCAGAUAUCCAAGAGCUCCCCCGAAGUCAUCUGCUCAGAAAUCAACUCCUUCCACGCAAAUCUCGAUAAGGUUCCUCCAGAUCAUCCCCAUUUACAGGAGUCCCAGCCCCGGACUUUGCGAAGACGCCGCUGCAAACGACUUCAUCCACCACAUCCACCCCACGGGGCUCUACAGAGAGAACUGGAUGAGAAUUAAUUUAUUUACUUUAUUUUAUCAGCGAAUCAGAAAAAUUCUGUGGCUCACACGGAACAAAGACAGGAGAUGAAAGUCCAUCACUCUGACUGUCAAAAGGGGGAAUAAAAUCUCGACCAUGCUCACAGCCGUGGGACCAAUUCCUCAGCCCCCAGAAGAUUGCUGCAAAAGGAGGUGGGUAACUCCAGUUAUCAAACUGGUGUGGGGAAAAGAGGAUGGAAGGACAUGGAGAAGGCCUCAUCGUCAUGGGGUUGGAAUGCCUUACGAAGGCAUUGCAGGCUGGUUCUAUCUUGCUUACUCAUGGGAAUGGCCCAGCUGGCAUCUUCAGGGCCCACUUGAGUUGCAAAUAGAGCUGGAUUUAGAAACAUGACUGUUUCAUGGUGCAGUUGCAACAGGGAACAGCUGAGCUCAUCCGUGUUCAAAAAAAGGCACAUCCAGGGUGUUUCCACCCCAGAGAUGUCCAUGUAAAGAGAUGAGGGUCAAGGGGAGGAGGUUUGGAGGGAUCCAGGCAGACAAGAAGGCUGGCAGACUGGUUCAAUGCAGUCCAUCACACUUCCCAAAUAUUCUUUGUGUCACUUCUCUUGCUCUCCUUUCCCUUCUGCCCAACAUGGAGAAGAUUCAUUGUGGCUGUAAGAUGGGAGAGAGCAUCCUCAAUGAGAGUAAACAUGGAGCCAUGGAAGCCUCCUUAUGGGGCAGAAGGUUUUGCUUGUUUAUAGUGGAGGGCAGAGGUACAUUCUGCCCUUCCCUUUUUAAUAUUCUAAUUUCCUCUAGCAAAAUCUAACCCAUCAUCUGCUUUGGCAAAUUUCCACUGGGAUUAGUUCUUGCUGGAAGAUGGUUGAUUAAUCUUGCCCAUUUGCGAUUUGUUCACUGGGUGCCUCGCACAUCGCUCUCUGGACACAGUGAUCUUCAUGGUUUGGUGUGGCUGCCAUGUCAGUGUGAGAAACCCACGACCUAUUUUUCCUUCCAUGGUAAGAAGCCCAUGUUGUAACACGUUGCAAUAAUGGGAGCACCACUAAAUCCCCACCAGGCAGCUUUGUAACCCACCCUCCCUAAAGCCAGCCCCGGUGAGGAGCCCCAAUAGCUUGUAGGAGUUGCUACAGAUAUCUGAAGACCCAUACAUCAAAACAAGUUGUGAACACUAAACCUCCUCCCUCCACUAAUGCAUAGAAAAUAUAAUUUAAAUGCUGUGAUCCUGAAUGACUGGGUGCUGGGUUGCUGGACAACUGGCUUUGCCACGGGCCUGCUGACUUGUGGCAGGUCAUUCUGCUUCCCUCUUUCAUUUUACCUCUAUGACUUCUAAGGUCCCUGAAGACUGAGAUCCAUGUCAUUCAUGUCAUCCAUACAUCUUGACCAGAAGUCAACAGCAGUCCAAAUAGCGACAAGGUCAAAGCUGAGGGCAUCAGGAAAGAUGUGCAAGUUAACCUGACACUUGUGGACCUGUAGGCCUCAUAAACCUCCUGGAAAAACUCUUUGCUGAAUCCAGCAUAUUCAGACAGUGUAAAGGAGAGAACAAGCUUUGAAAGAGGGAGAUGGGGAACUGGAGACUGGCUACGAGAAGCAGCAGAGCGAUCUGCAGGCAGGUAUGCUAUCAGAAAUGUCUGACAUAUGGCUCGAUUGCAUAUUUUUUCUGUACCUUGCAGACGUCAUCAGCAGAAAAUGAGUUGGGAUUUGAAUUUGAAUUGAAAUUAAUGAAUUAUGGUCCUUGAGAAAGGGAGGGGUGGCUCUCAUGAAGCUGUAACUGUCCAGGCUUGAAAAAGGUCCCGGGGUUUUCAUCUACCCUGUUGUCCUGUCCCAAGACAGCACCUCAUCUGCCAAACCACCCCAGGCAGGAAUGUGCCCCUAAGGAUCUCCAUACAGGUUAUUUCCAGGCUUUACAUGAAUUCUCAGUUAAAAAACAUAAGCCUGGUAGCCAAGGCUUGAAAGACAAAGCACCCCACUCAUCACAGCUGUGCUGUGUGGGGACAGGUUCCCAAAGGCAGGAGGGUGUAUUGGCAAUGGAUGGAGAAGAGGAGCAGAGCUAAAACAGGGGUGGCAAACAGGCAGGUGUGAAACUUGUUUAUUUUACGUGGGUUAAUGUUUUUGUACUGGGGAAGGAUUUUGUGUGUUACUUUGCUUUCCCAUAUUAUUAGCUUUGCCUUUUCUCCCUUGAGUAAAAUAUUGUUUGUUGAACUAAUCAUGUUCCUUGCUGAGUGGGGGAGUUUUAGCUCACCAGGCACCAGAGCGUUGCUGUAUGUCCUCAAGGUUCCUGGGGCUGGAUCCCAGGUUGGUGUUUUCUGAGUGACCCCUUCACACUUGAGCCCAGUCCAUGUCGUUGCCAGUCAGGCCAGCAGACAGGUCACACUAAUGUUUAACUCCAGCCUGUGUCAUUGCAUUCAGAGCCCGUUGUUGCCUCCCCUCUCAUUGAGCAUUUUAUUCCCUUCUUUUCCCAGCAGUGCAAGUGGAUACAUUGACCCCAUCACCUCUUGGUCUCCCCUUCACCAAACAAGUCUAUUCCUCCAUUACCCUUCACAAGUGCUAUUUCAAGAUCUCUUUCCAUCUCAGUUACUGUCCUGUGAUGUUCUCCAGAAGGGACACAUCCUUCCUUGAAGUGGUGGGAAGCCUGAAAUGGGUCAAGGAUUAUUUUUGCUAGGAAAGACAUAGGAAUUCCUGUGCUGGCAUGAGGACAGGAUCCUGUAAUAGGGCAAAUCCAGGACUACAGGGUGAUAGGGAUCCAUCUCAUGGUCCCUGAGCAAAAGCAAGAGGGAGGUCCACCUCUUUGUUACCCUUUGCCCACAGUGGGGUUGGCUAUUUCAUCCAAGGGAGUGGGCUCAUCUGGAGUAGCUGGGCUGUGGGCACUGUUCCGCAACCUUCUCCAGAACCUCUGGCACAACGACAAGUGGAGGAGCUCAUGUCUGAAACCAGGGCAAAGAGAUCCAUGCCAGCUCACACCAUCAGUAUUUGCCUCAGUCUGCUUCCUUGUGAAGAAACCACAGACUGCUGCAUUCCUCCCAUUUUUAAGAUGCAAGUUAAGCACAUUUUAUCCCUGGAGACAGGGACUAACUUCUUCUGCUGAUCACCUUCUCUAACCUGGCAGCCAUGACCUCUCUCCAUCAUCUAGCACAAUGUUUGCUGCUUAACGACGAAAACAUUUGUUGAGGGUGCAGUGUUGGCCUGCCUCUUCAGACAGGAAGGGGAUCUUUACUUCAAAGGUUGCCCAUCCAUGCCCUGGAAGGCUGGAAGUACUUCCCAAGUGACAAGUAUCCGCUGGAGAGGAACAAACACUCCAAGUGUUUGUAGACCAUUCUCCUAUCACUUCUUACCUCUCUAGAGGAUGACAUAAAGUCAAGGCCAUUGUUCCUAAGUGGACUUGAAGUAUAUUGACCAUACUGAGUCACGAGCAUUUCAAGACUGCUGUGGGGAGUCCUCUGUCCAGACUGCUUGCUGUUAUUGUCUGAGAUGAGUCUUUUUUCAUCUAAAAUGCCACAUUUUCCCAGUGUUGGGUUGCCUGUCUGUGUGCUUCAGCAGAUAGGAAAAUCGUGGCAUCCUACUCAGAGUGAUGGGAAUGUGUCAAGUAUAGUUAUAAAUACCAUCUCCCCAGCAUACUGGUGGUUGGUGUUUUCUCUCAUCAACUCAUAGACACCUGCCUUGAAAAGGGACAGAUCAUGUUCUUUGGGACAUGGUUAUGUGCCAGUGUUGGGUUAACAGUUGGACUUGAUGAUCUUGAGGGUGUCUUCCAACCAAAAUGAUUCUAUGAUUGUAUGUUCUGGGAGUAACCAUCUUGAGAGAGUGGGGCUGGAUUCUCAGGUUAAACUACAUGUAGAAUCAAACUCCUGUCAAAUCAGAGGAGCCUGGAGUGAAAUCAACAUUACCCUCAACCAAUUAAUGUGCAUAUUUGUCACUGUCACAUAGAGACAGAGAUUUUUAGGUCAAGAUAUAAUUAUGGCGUUUGAUAGCCUGAAUACAGUAAAUGGGAAAAUUGGAUCCAGUGAUUUCUGCCUUGACCCUGACAAACUCUGACUUCUCAUCUGGAUGACUACAGGUGCCCCAAGGCUCAAAGUAAUGGUUUAUUCCUGGUAUUAGAGAUGCUGAAGCAAGAAACCUCUCCUACAUAACACCAGCAAGUCAGGGACACUUGUAAGUAGAAAUUGGCCAUCAUCUCUGCUGGACCUAUUCAGACAGCACAGGGUGCAGGGGUGAGAUGUGCAAGUUUGGGAUCCAGAUGUCUGGAGUUGUAUGAUGUUGAAGCAACCAGGAUACGAGGUACUACUGGGAGUCUGAAAUCCUGAGUGGUGAUGACUCUCAACUUGCUGCUUAAAAGGGUUUGGAGUGAGUUUUGCAUGUCAGGUUGCAGUCACUUGUGUGAUAUCUGCUAGUCAGCUGAUUAAACUGUGGGAAAAUGGUCUGGGGUUGAAAUAUUCAUUUUAUACGCAUAUGUGUAUACACAUACUUUUUGCAUGCGCAUGCACAUAAGAUAGUGUGUAUGUACACAUAUAUGUAUUUAGGUGUGUUAUUACUCCCCUGUUUUCCACCAAUUUGAAGUCAAAGCCUUGUAGUCUGACAUUUCUCCUCUUUCUUAUUCUCCCAGUGUCAAAUAUGUUCCCUGCACACAGCUGAGAAGUCAGCCUGUCACAUGAACUGCAGGCAAGGAGCAAUAUCUGCCUGGGUUUACUUGUUGAACAACGUUAAGUAGAUGAUUAACCAUUAAAGCAACAGAGUUUGCUGACCCAUUAACCACAUAGGAAGGCCCUCUGGUUUGCUAAACAAUGGGUCCCAUACAGAAAGCACCUCGACUUGUCCAUCUCAUCAGAACCACUGCUGACAGACCUGUGCGGAUAUUGCGAUGUAAUGACUCAGUUCGGGCUCUCACGCAACCAAUCGCCUGCCGAAGGCCAGUGCUCCCCACAUUUUCAUCUGCACCGUGUUGACCUUGGAAAUUAAUCUUGCCCAGAUUCAUGCUUUGUGUCAAACCCUGGGAGACUUUAUAGCUACCACUCAUUUUUUCGCCCUCACUUUUGCAUGCAAUGCAUCUCGGUGUUGCAGAAAUGCUGUGUCUGAAUUCAGCAGCCGCUGAAGCACACAAAUUUACUCGUCUGGAGGCACAGGGCAAACACCCAUCGGUUCUUGCAUGGGGCAGGAUUAAUAAUUCCUUUCUAGUUUAGCAUUACUAAUUAAUCCCCGCAUUGCGUACCAUCCUUGCCUUGUCAGUCAGAUGCCUUCCCAAUCAAGCCAUAACCCUUGUGAUUUUGCUCUGUUCAUGCUUAGCUGUCAAAUACUUGUUACCUGUCAUUCUCCUUGGUGGAUGCUACCAGAAAUUCAGGAAACAGAAUGUCCCACCUCUCUAAUUUAAAAAAAGAAGGAAAACUGGUGAUCUGAUUGUAUGAAGGGGGAAUGUUUUCCAUCUGGAUGUCAUCAAAAUUGUGAUGCAACACAAAAACCAGAUACUCUGACAGACCUGGGUCACAUCUGUCAGCCAUAUCUUGUUGUCUUGGAUAACCUAUGUCCUCUCAAAUGGCCCAAGAUGCUUGUGUUAAGACAACUGAUUCCCACAUAUGGAUUGCAUGGAUUAUAUUGCCUCGGAGUAGGGUGAGAGUUUAGAUGUUAAGGGGAGAAGAAUUGCCCUUUAGCUCCCACUGCAUAUAUUGCAUAGAUCUCCAAUAGCUAUAAAAGGGAUAUGACAUGAAUGUCUAGGUCAGAUCAGACAAUCAUAGAACAGUUUGUGUUGGAAGGGACCUUCAAAGCUCAUCCCAUGCCACCCCUGCCAUGAGCAGGGACAUCUUCACCAGCUCAGGUUGCUCAGAGCCCCGUCCAGCCUGGCCUGGGAUGUCUCCAGGGAUGGUUCAUCCACCACCUCUCUGGCCAACCUGGGCCAAUGUUUUACCACUCUCAUUGUAAAAAAUUUCUUCCUCAUGUCCAGAUGGAGGUAUCUAGACUGUAGAUCAUUACAUCAAAUCCAGGGAAUCUCAUUUAAGGAUUGAAUGGAAUGCAGAUUAAGCAAAUAUAUGCCAGCUGGUGAAUUUUGGACCAGAUCUGAGUGAUACGCAGUUGGUGCAUGUAGGAUAAAUAUCCCACCCUAUAGACGGCAUGCAGAUCUCAGCUUACCAUGGCUUUUGUGGAUCCUGUUUUUCAGUACUCUGCUUACCAACUACCCAACCUGCCCACAUAGUAAUGUCAUAUCACAGACAUCAACCAGACAACACAGCCUGGGACUCUUCCUAAGAUUUAGAAUCUUGGAUGCCAGGAAGGUUCAGCCCAUCUGCAAGAGCCUUGUUGAGAUAUGAAGCUGGAUAAUGUUAGAUAACAGGGCUUUGGGUUGUCACUCAAACUGGCUGUAUUAGAUCUUAAGCUUGAAAUAUAAGACACAAGGGCUACAGAGGUGAAACAGAGAGGAGAAGAGAGGAGAUAAGAGGAGAGGAGAAAAGAGGAGAGGAGAGGAGAGGAGAGGAGAGGAGAGGAGAGGAGAGGAGAGGAGAGGAGAGAGAAGAGAAGAGAAGAGAAGAGAAGAGAAGAGAAGAGAAGAGAAGAGAAGAGAAGAGAAGAGAAGAGAAGAGAAGAGAAGAGAAGAGAAGAGAAGAGAAGAGAAGAGAAGAGAAGAGAAAGAAGAGAAGAGAAGAGAAGAGAAGAGAAGAGAAGAGAAGAGAAGAGAAGAGAAGAGAAGAGAAGAGAAGAGAAGAGAAGAGAAGAGAAGAGAAGAGAAGAGAAGAGAAGAGAAGAGAAGAGAGAGAGAAGAGGAGUGAGAUGGCUUUGCUCAGCAUGAUGGUGUGCUCAUAAGGCAUUACACUGGAUCAAGCAAUACACGCUAUCAUCAUCCUUGGUCAUCAUGAUGGUGUCCCACCACCAAUGGUAUCUGAAUGCCUAAAUAAGACAGAAUUGCAGAGCUCAGCCCUGAGUCAUUGCAAUGGCUGUAUAUGGAGACCACCGCCUCUGCACCAGUUACCUCAGUAGUAAUAUUCAGAUUUUCCCCAGCAGUGAGUUACCUAUUGAGAUCAGGCAUUUUUAUUCUCUCUGUUACUUCGAUGGAAAGAAGUGGUAAACAAUUUCAGAGAUGUGGUGGUCUGGGAUAAGGUUUGCAAGAGACUGAGCAGCAGCUGGCACAUUGCAAAACAGUUAUUUCAUCACUCUGACUGUGCAGGGAGGAAUUAAACAUUGAGUAAGCAAGCAGAGAGCACGACUGGCAGCAGACAGGUAGCGUAGCAAGAACGAUCCUCUGCUCUCCACUCAAGAAGUCCUAAACCUAGGAACAUUUAAGUUAUUACAAACAUCAUGGAUGUUCACGCUCCCUUUAUAGGCACUGGAAAUGCUCAGUGCAGUUAAUGGGGUGGGAUUCAAGUAUCCAGACAUGGGCAUCUAAUAUUGUUUAAGAUGCCUUAAGGUGUCCUGGUGACCUUCAGCUGCUGCUCCAGAAGACACAGGUCUCCUGCAUCAUGCCUGUGUGGAUGUCCAAGGUGUCCAAGGUCAGCUUACUGACCACAGACAUCUGCUUUCCAUCUACCUUCCAUCAGGUACCCAACAGACACAGGAUGUCUUUGCUGCAGAUCUCUGAAUGGAGAGGAGUAGGUACCAUCAAGGGUUUCUGUGUUUUGCCACACAUCCACUCUGGAGCAUCACAGCUGACAAGCCCAUCUCGACUUCUGAACCUGAGUUUUCUUUCAAAAGGCUUGUUUGCUCAAGAAUGAGAGGAUCAUAGAAUGGUUUGGGUUGGGAGGGACCUAAAAGAUCGCCUAGUCCAACCUUCCUGCCAUGGGCAGGGACAUCUUCCACUAGACCAGGUUACUCCAGGACCCAUCCAACCUGGCCUUGAACAAACCCAGCUCGGGUCUCAUGAGCAAAAAUCUGUCAGUCUACUCCCGCACUGACAUGGAUAUAAAAACACCCAGCUCCUAGACUCUGGCUGAAGACCAAACAGAUGACAACCUUCAAGACAAUGACAUUUCAGUUACAGCAGUAAAUCUUAAAUCCCACUUUAAAAGAAGGCUAAACACUGUGAAAUAAACCCCUUUCCUUAGCAUGAAACAUCCAUAAAGUGAAACAACAUGACCGAAAUCACCCUUCGUCUAAAAAUAAAAGCAAAGAGAGGGUUUUCAGUAGUGCUGGAAAAUACCCGACACGCGUUCAAUGGGUGGGCUUGAUAUUGUGACUACAAAAAUAUUUUUGCUCAGUUUGUUUCUGGCUGUUUUGCGGCUGAUGUUUUGCCAGACCUCUUCAGCAUUCAAUGAGAUGGGCUUGCCAACUUCACCCUAUGGUUUGAAGGCACGGUGGUGCCGCCGGACUGCGGAGAUGACCUCCCAGUAAAUGUCCCAGAAAUACCCCACCAUUCCGAACCACUGCAACUGUCAACAUGUGCAGAGAAACUUCCCAGAGCUGCUUAAAAUACAACCAACAUCUUCUUGCUUCGGUGUUUCAGACAGGGCGUAGAGGGACUGAGGAGCAGCCGUUUUCCCAUUUUGCUUAAAUAAGCAUGGCUGCUCACAGGACGGAGGAGCAUGGGAGGACAGGUCCCUGGGGACACUUCCACCAUCCAAGUGCUGGCGGUGAGUGGUUUUGGACAAUGCUCUUGGCUCCUCUCCGCCAACUCACAUGGCCCCAGCAUGGGGGGAAGAGAGGGAGGUAGAACGCAAAAAACGGGGGCUGGAAAGUGGUGACAGAAGUUCAGGUAGAUUGGAAAGACCAAAAGGUUUAUUUUAUUUUAUUUUUUCCCAGGCUUUUCAGCAAAAAAUGAAAUUGGAGAACAGAAAAUGCCCUUUUGGCUCAGCUCAUAACAGUCCAUUUGAGAUCAUUUGCUGGUUUUGUUCUUUUCUCAGGGCAUUUCACUCCUCCCUUUAGUGCCUUUCCUUUGCACAGGGGUAUUUUUUUUUUUUAAGAGAGCCUAUAAUUUUCAAACAAAAAGGUCAUAUUUUGAAAUUUCCAAGGAAAUCUGUUGGCAUUUCGGACCUGCCUUGAGAAUGUUUCAGGGAAAUGUUUCAUUUUUUCCCCAGAAAUUUUCUGCUACCUUUUCUCCAGCCCACAAAAUUUCAACACGAAUUUAUGAAUAUCUUCUGUCCCUCCUGAAUCUCCAUUUCAAAAACAUUCACUAUUAGUUUAAAAAAAAAAAAAAAAGAGAGAAAAUAAACUACCCAGACCUGCUUUUUGUCCACUAUUAUUAUGAUUUCUUGCUCUUUGCUAUGUUAAAAAGUGAUCCAGCAUCCUGUCUCCCUUCUCAGUGGAGCCAAAGGAGGGAAAUGGAUCCAGGGUGAACAUCUCCAGCCUCGUCCACCAACCCACACCCUGGUCCUUCCCUCACUUCCCAUGACCACACAUUGACAUUCAACACACACCAGCCCAUCUCAGCAACAUCUGGUCCCAUGUUGCAACCCACAUGAAUAAAUGCAAGUCCAGGAAAAGUAGGUGCUAUGACCUGUCAUUUACCAACAAGGAGAGACCUCAAAUGACAUGGUGGCAAGAAACUAGGAAGCAAUAAGAUUUUUAAAAAUGUAUUUUGUUAGAGCAGUUAUUAAUUGGGGGAACUUCAAAAAAACCCACGGUGGAUGGCAACAUCCACAGACCACUGGGAUGGCUAGAAACUGUUACAAAACCUCAAUUAAAAAUUGAUUUGCAGACAUCUAAAGAGGUUUCUGUGUACCUCUUUCCAAGCAGACAGCAGUGACCACAGCCAGGGACACAGAAACAGAGGCCAGCUGGACUCUAGAAAUGCAGCCUAUACUCCACACUCUCUAUUUCUUUUUCUUCUUACUCCUUUCCCCCUUUUUUUUUGAAUAUUAUCAUACCCAUCCCUUUCUGUCUCAAGGACUGUGCAUGCCCUUCAGUUAACUGGUUUAAUGUAUGUUCAGGCUUGACUUGAGCAUAUUCCUGGUCAUUGCCAUCAGUCCCUAAGAUACAGAGGCAAGGUGGGUGACCUUAAAGAUAGAGGAAUAGGUUAUCCCAGGGCACCUGUCACCCUAAGGAUGAGGUAAACAAGAGAGCUACAGGAGCAGAGUUAAUGAGGCCUCCUAUAGAUAUGCAGAUGGAAUCCUGACAUCCACCCUCACAGUAACCCUUGCUUCACCUUCAGCUCCCCUAAUGCCUACGUGCACAACCUCAAUUUCAUAGAAUCAUAGAAAUAUGGAAUAGUUUGGGUUGGAAGGGACCUUCAAAGCUCAUUCAAUGCCACCCUUGCUAUGAGCAGGGACAUCUUCACCAGCUCAGGUUGCUCAGAGCCCCGUCCAGCCUGGCCUGGGAUGUCUCCAGGGAUGGUUCAUCCACCACCUCUCUGGCCAACCUGGGCCAGGCUCUCACUACCCUCAGGGGCAACAAUUUCUUCCUUAUGUCUAGUCCGAAUCUCUCCUUUAGUUUUAAACCAUCACGUCUUGUGUUAUCACAACAGGCCCUGUUAAAUUUCCCUAUCCCCAUUUCCCUCCCCCAGUUCCUCGGCCUCUCCCUCCACUGCUCACCAAUUCGUGUUUUUUCUAUCUGUAUUUCCUAAAGAAGCAAAUUGUCACCAAAACCGCUCAAAUAAUGUCCAGUAAAUCACUGUGUUUUACAGCAAAGGUUCAGACAGAAUGCAAAAAGAGUCCCUGCUUGCUUGGCACUAUUUCUUCAGGCCUGAAAAAUACCUCCUGCAGCUCUGUCUAACAAAAACACAUUCAUUCCUAGCAUGCCUGAUUGUCAUAAAGACAAUAAGGACUUUAUUUCGCACUGGGACUAAUUGCAUUAAAAAAAUCACUCUGGUCCAGACUGAAAAGUCCCCAAUUCUCUGUGAAAUCGCCAGGAGGAAGGUGUCCAUGUAAAGGACAACCUGUCUGGGUUUGCUCUGAGGGGCUAUAUUUUCAUAGUACUCAUGUAUUUAAGAAGAAAAAUCUUCACAAGAGCAAAGCACAACCCAGGAAAGAUAUGCAAGGGAGCAGAAGGCAGAAUAACCAUUUUUGAGUAAUUUUUAAAUAUUUUUGCCAGCUCUUGGGAACAUCAGUGAAAAGAGAUGUCUUUUGCUGCUAGAGAGAAAUAAUUUUAGCUGAAGAGAUGCAUUUACUGGGCUUUCCGUUAGUGGGAAACUUUAUAAAUUCAAUUCUUUAACGAUACAGAACAAUUAAAAAGCUUAAAACUUUUUUUUUUUUUUCACAAACAUGGUGUAUAAUACCAGCAAGCCCUGAGGUUUGGGGGACCCCUGAUGGUGCUUUCCUGCAGUUCAGGCCCAUCGAAUCCAUCUGAGGAAGCCCCAUUGAGUCACCCUCCUCUCUCCCCCUCCCUGCAGAGUCCCACUGUCUGCCCUGGGCAGGAUUUGCUCAUGGGUUCACCUCAUCAAUUGAUAGGUUGAGGCCAGUUGUAUGAGGUCCAAUAAGGUCAAGUGCCAGGUCCUGCACUGGGGUCACAACAACCCCAGGCAGUGCUACAGGCUCGGGGAAGAGCAGCUGGAAAGUGCCUGGGGGAAAAGGACCUGGACGUGUUGAUGGACAAUGGCUGAACAUGAGCCAACCUGUGUCCAGGUGGCCAAGAGGCCACCAGCAUCCUUGUUUGUAUCAGCACUGGUGUGGCCAGCAGGCCCAGGGCAGUGACCGUCCCUGUGCUGGGCUCUGGGGAGGCCAAACCUGGAAUCCUGGGGUUAGUUCUGGACCCCUUGUGACACAUCCUUGAGGUGCUGGAGUGAGUUGAGAGAAGGGAAUGGGGCUGGGAAAAGGGCUGGAGCACAAGUGUGAUGGGAGUGGCUGAGGGACCUGGGGAUUCAGCUGGAGAACAGGAGCUGAGGGGAGACCUUCUGAUCUCUGAACUGCCUGGAAGGAGCUUGGAGCAUGGAGGGGGUUGGUCUCUUCUCCCAAAUAACAAGUGACAGGACAAGAGGAAAUGUCCUCAAGUUGCUCCAGGGAAGGUUUAGAUUGGAUAUUCGGAAAAAUUUCUUCAACAACUUUUCUGUUUGUCGGGCAUUGGAACAGUCUGCCCAGGUCAGUGGAGGAGUCACCAUCCCUGGAGGGGUUGAAAAGAUGUGAAGAUGAGGUUCUCAGGAAGAAUGUUGUGUCAAUGGUUGUACUCAAUGACCUUGAGGGUCUCUUCAAAACAAAAGGAUUCUAUGAUUCUAUGUAGAGCUCUGCAAAGGCAUCUUUCCUCAUCACCAUGGGGACUUUGUAGUCCAGGAGUCCAGGGAGACCCCUAAAUGGGAGACACAAGUGCUGCUGGAACCUAUUGAGCUUCUUUUUGGUCACACUGUCCUAAUCUGGAUUCAUUGCAAGCCUAUGCAUAUGCUGGGUUAUUGCUGCUAUCACACAUCACUCCAAAGACUGAGAGCAAAUGUAACACGGCAUCAGCAGCUCCUGUGGGUCAAGGUUUUAACAACAUGUCUUGGGGUGUAGGAGUCCUUGCAGAAGAUGCAGAAGGGUGGGCCAGCUGCAAGUGUCUUCAGCUGCUUGCGAUGCCCGUCCACCUCUUGGGGAAAGUCUGUGCAGCCACUUUGAGCUCACUUGAUACAAACAGGUGAUGAACUUGGUCCUUCUUUCAGCUUAAAUUGCAAGCAAGAGCCUCUUAAAUUAGGUGGAAAGAGGGGAGAUAAGCCUUUGCUUUUCUUGCAGGAGUGGCAUAACAAUAGAGCAGAAUGCUUGAAGUUUGCUCUUAUAAAAAUAAGAAAUAAAAGGAACUGCUCCCGCGGUGGAGUGGGGGCUGGACUAGGUGACCUCCUGAGGCCCCUUGUAAACAUAUUUUAUGAGAUUGCCCGAUUAUACUGAGAGCUGGCAAUGCUCAGGAAGGAUCUGCGUGAGCCUGUUACCGUGGGCCAGGAGUAAGGUGCUUGCUAAUGCUUAAUAAGAUUUAGCUGCUGUGUAACAGAUGCCUAUUGGGACUUGUUGGUUAAGUCUCUUUCAAAGUAUUUUAAUAUGGGUCCUGUAAUCAGUUAAGAGAGGGGAUGUCUGAUGGGAGGGAGGUUUAGGGAAACCUAUGGCUUGUUGAGAUUUGGUACGAGAGGCCCUGCUAGGGGUCAGUCCCAUGACUUGGUGGCUUGCUUGGUGCCCUGCCCUGAUUCUGAUUCUGUUCUCAUCACAUGGCGUCAUUUUGGGGUAGAUUUAUAUAGAAACAAGCAAAAAAUCUCAACAUGUAAAGCCCAAUGAGCUGUGGCUCCCUGUCUGGCACGUUUCCCACAGAUCUCAGGGGACAAAACUGGUGGUCCCCACCUCCUGCAACUGGGGACACACCUGUGUUUCCACAUCCAGCUCUGUCCUGCAUGAACAGGAGGGUGGAAAAUGGCUUGCAGAACAUCAUGGAACGACAGGGUCUCAUUUGUUUUUUUUUGUCUUCAAUAAUGCUGAAUUAAUUGACUGUCACUGGCUUCAGUGCCUUUUUUUCAUUUGGAAAAGUGAGGAGAGACAGGGCAGGAGUGGGGGUCAAGGCCAUGUUGCUCUUUAUUUGCGGUGAUUUGCGCUCCACAGAGCCCUGGGGAAGCAGGGAUGCUCUGAGCCUGGCUCUCAGCAGCCCAUCUGAAAGCAACAGGAGCAUUUUGACCCCAUCUAUACCCCUCAAAAUCGUUGACUCUGGCCAGAGGGCUGGGUGCAGGCAGGACUGAGGUUAGGAAUGGAGGUGCAACACAACAGCAUGUUGCCUGAAGCUCAGAGCUGUCCCCAGGGUGACUCUAACUGCAUUCAAGCUUGAUGGAAAAGAAGGGAAAAGCCUGGCUUCUAGCCUGCGUGUGAUCACUGGAAGGGAGGAAACACCCUGAAAGUCCACGUGAUGGUGAAAAAAGAGUAACUGGAAAUGAAGGCGGUGGCAGCAGGGGGGAUUUGCAUGGUGUGAUCCCCGAGAUGGUGGAAUAAACGACAUCCCGUGGGCAGGCGGUGUUCCCAGGUCUUGUCUGUUAUUUCAGCCUGCAUCCGGAGGGCAGAUAAAUGCCAGGCCCACUUCUAAUUAAGGAAACUGAGGAAGGGAAAUGUGAGUGGCUCGUCUCGGAGGUGAUUUGUCGGGAGGAAAUGCAGCUGAAGGCUUCUCAUCUAUCCCGGGCACAGCCUCGGAUACCCAGAUGGAGCCUGGGGAGGUUCCCCAACUCUUGCUGCCUUGCUUGAGUUACUCCGAUCUGGGAGUGAGUGCCAAAUAUCUGGUGGGGAACCCAUACAGGACUGGCAGAGAGGGAUGAAAGAGGUGACCUCAUGGGUAUUUUCCUUCCCUUUUGCACUCCUCUGACUCAACCGCCCCGCUGAGCUGGAGUCGCUGCCCUGGAGAGGUUUGGUUCCUGUGGCAGCGAGACAUCGGCGGGCUGGUCAAAGUCCUGGCAUCUCUAACGGGAACUGCUUGGAGGGGAGAUGGAGCCCGGCUCUGUGCUGUGGAAAAAAGCCAUAGGGAGGGAAGGGGAAUCCUGAGUGAAAGAGGCACAAUGUUUCCUGCAAAAACCAUGACAGGGAUGGUGGUGAGGGCUCCUCUGGGAUGGGGAAGCCUCUGGAGUGAUACAGGCAGCUCAAGAGCUGAGUCAUGGAGAAGGAAAACUUCAAGUCAUGCUCCGGAUCCCUCUG